UCCUGAACAAAGAACAUACUUUCCUAUCAUCAUUGGCAGUCCUGCCUAAGUGAACAGCCCUAGCUGCUUUAAUAUACUUGGAUUUUAGCAAUAAUUAGGAUGCAUAAGCAUUUCUGCCAACCAUUUGGAUACCAACCACAUGAUGGAGGCAGUUGUUCUUAAGAUGCAAUGUGACCAGCUGCUUCGAGUUCCUAUUGCCUUGACUUCCCCACCAUAAUGGAUUGUACCUUGAACCCUUUCUCUUGUAAACUGCUUUGGUCAGGACAUAUUUCAUCACAGUAACAGGAAAAACAACAAAUAGCACCUGAGACAGGAGCAAAGAGGAACUAUAUUCGUUGGUUAGAAAUAAAACCAGAGUGAAAAACUGGCUCCA